rnacentral:rRNA from 1 species
AGAACGAACGCUGGCGGCAUGCCUAACACAUGCAAGUCGAACGAGACCUUCGGGUCUAGUGGCGCACGGGUGCGUAACGCGUGGGAAUCUGCCCAAAGGUUCGGAAUAACUCAGGGAAACUUGAGCUAAUACCGGAUGAUGUCGCAAGACCAAAGAUUUAUCGCCUUUGGAUGAGCCCGCGUAGGAUUAGCUUGUUGGUGAGGUAAAGGCUCACCAAGGCUACGAUCCUUAGCUGGUCUGAGAGGAUGAUCAGCCACACUGGGACUGAGACACGGCCCAGACUCCUACGGGAGGCAGCAGUGGGGAAUAUUGGACAAUGGGCGAAAGCCUGAUCCAGCAAUGCCGCGUGAGUGAUGAAGGCCUAGGGUUGUAAAGCUCUUUACCCGGAAGAUAAUGACUGUACCGGAGAAUAAGCCCGGCUAACUCCGCGCCAGCAGCCGC